AGGGGUAUAGUUUAAUGGCAAAACAACGGUCUCCAAAACCGUUGAUGUGGGUUCGACUCCUGCUACCCCUG
rnacentral:tRNA from 1 species